AUGGAGGAAUUACCUGAAUGAGUUCCCACAGACUGUCCUAGAGGGGCCACAGACUGCUCUGAGAAGCUAGUGCAAUUUAUGAGUCCUCUUCUGAAAAAAAUGCAGAUACUCAUACAUAUACAAUGUCGCAUGUGCUUUCAGGGGUUUCAGGACCCCUCUGAAAUCCAUCCCUGGAUCCCAGAUUAAGGUCUCCUGAUUCCAUGAGCCACAAUAAUAUUGAAAUUGGGCCAAUUAAUA
rnacentral:lncRNA from 10 species